rnacentral:rRNA from 1 species
UACGUAGGGUGCAAGCGUUGUCCGGAAUUAUUGGGCGUAAAGAGCUCGUAGGCGGUCUGUCGCGUCUGGUGUGAAAAUCCAGGGCUUAACCCUGGACCUGCAUCGGGUACGGGCAGACUAGAGUGCGGUAGGGGAGAUCGGAAUUCCUGGUGUAGCGGUGAAAUGCGCAGAUAUCAGGAAGAACACCUAUGGCGAAGGCAGCUCUCUGGGACGGUACUGACGCUGAGACGCGAAAGCGUGGGAGCGAACAGG